AUUGAGCGCUGGCGGCAUGCCUUACACAUGCAAGUCGAACGGUAACAGGGAGCUUGCUCCGCUGACGAGUGGCGAACGGGUGAGUAAUGUAUCGGAACGUACCUUUCAGUGGGGGAUAACGUAGCGAAAGUUACGCUAAUACCGCAUAUUCUGUGAGCAGGAAAGCAGGGGAUCGCAAGACCUUGCGCUGAUUGAGCGGCCGAUAUCAGAUUAGCUAGUUGGUGAGGUAAAGGCUCACCAAGGCGACGAUCAGUAGGGGUUCUGAGAGGAAGGUCCCCCACACUGGCACUGAGAUACGGGCCAGACUCCUACGGGAGGCAGCAGUAGGGAAUAUUGGGCAAUGGUCGCAAGACUGACCCAGCCAUGCCGCGUGCAGGAAGACGGCCCUCUGGGUUGUAAACUGCUUUUAUCUGGGAAGAAAAAGUCCAUGCGUGGAAAAUUGCCGGUACCAGAUGAAUAAGC
rnacentral:rRNA from 1 species